rnacentral:rRNA from 1 species
AGUGAACGCUGGCGGUAGGCCUAACACAUGCAAGUCGAACGGCAGCACAGUAAGAGCUUGCUCUUACGGGUGGCGAGUGACGGACGGGUGAGGAAUACAUCGGAAUCUACUUUUUCGUGGGGGAUAACGUAGGGAAACUUACGCUAAUACCGCAUACGACCUACGGGUGAAAGCAGGGGAUCUUCGGACCUUGCGCGACUGAAUGAGCCGAUGUCGGAUUAGCUAGUUGGCGGGGUAAAGGCCCACCAAGGCGACGAUCCGUAGCUGGUCUGAGAGGAUGAUCAGCCACACUGGAACUGAGACACGGUCCAGACUCCUACGGGAGGCAGCAGUGGGGAAUAUUGGACAAUGGGCGCAAGCCUGAUCCAGCCAUACCGCGUGGGUGAAGAAGGCCUUCGGGUUGUAAAGCCCUUUUGUUGGGAAAGAAAAGCAGCAGGUUAAUACCCCGCUGUUCUGACGGUACCCAAAGAAUAAGCACCGGCUAACUUCGUG